UCCCUGGUGGCUCAGAUGGUAAAGAUUCUGUCUGCAAUGCAGGAGACUUAGGUUCGAUCCCUGGAUAGGGAA
rnacentral:tRNA from 1 species